rnacentral:rRNA from 1 species
UACGUAGGUGGCGAGCGUUGUCCGGAAUUACUGGGUGUAAAGGGCGUGUAGGCGGGAAUGUAAGUCAGAUGUGAAAUGCCGUAGCUUAACUACGGAGCUGCAUCUGAAACUGCGUUUCUUGAGUGUCGGAGAGGAAAGUGGAAUUCCCAGUGUAGCGGUGAAAUGCGUAGAUAUUGGGAGGAACACCAGUGGCGAAGGCGACUUUCUGGACGAUAACUGACGCUGAGGCGCGAAAGCGUGGGGAGCAAACAGG